UCGGAUGUAGUGUAAGUGCAACAUUGUGGCUCUGAGCCAGAAGCCACUUUAAAAAUAUCUAAAAUUUAAGCCGCUAAUCCAGGUUCGACUCCUGGCAUCCGAA